rnacentral:rRNA from 1 species
GACGAACGCUGGCGGCGUGCUUAACACAUGCAAGUCGAACGGAAAGGCCCUGCUUUUGUGGGGUGCUCGAGUGGCGAACGGGUGAGUAACACGUGAGUAACCUGCCCUUGACUUUGGGAUAACUUCAGGAAACUGGGGCUAAUACCGGAUAGGAGCUCCUGCUGCAUGGUGGGGGUUGGAAAGUUUCGGCGGUUGGGGAUGGACUCGCGGCUGAUCAGCUUGUUGGUAGGGUAGUGGCUUACCAAGGCUUGGACACGUAGCUGGCCGGGGAGGGUGAGCGGCCACAUAGGGACUGAGAGCCGGACCAGACUCCGACGGGAGGCAGCGGUGGGGAAUAUUGGACAAUGGGCGAAAGCCUGAUCCAGCAAUGCGGCGGGGGUGAUGAAGGGCUUAGGGUUGUAAAGCUCUUUUACCCGGGAUGAUAAUGACAGUACCGGGAGAAUAAGCGCCGGCUAACUCCGUG